AACGAACGCUGGCGGCAGGCCUAACACAUGCAAGUCGAACGCUCCGCAAGGGGGAGUGGCGCACGGGUGAGUAACACGUGGGAACCUACCUUCUGGUACGGAACAACCAAGGGAAACUUUGGCUAAGACCGUAUACGACCUCCGGGUGAAAGAUUGAUCGCCGGAAGAGGGGCCCGCGUCCGAUUAGGUAGUUGGUGAGGUAACGGCUCACCAAGCCUUCGAUCGGUAGCUGGUCUGAGAGGAUGACCAGCCACACUGGGACUGAGACACGGCCCAGACUCCUACGGGAGGCAGCGGUGGGGAAUAUUGGACAAUGGGCGCAAGCCUGAUCCAGCCAUGCCGCGUGAGUGAUGAAGGCCUUC
rnacentral:rRNA from 1 species